rnacentral:rRNA from 1 species
CGUGUAGGCGGCUUCUUAAGUCUGAUGUGAAAGCCCGGGGCUUACCCCCGGAAGGGCAUUGGAAACUGGGAGGCUAGAGUACCGGAGAGGAAGGUGGAAUUCCUGGUGUAGCAGUGAAAUGCGUAGAUAUCAGGAGGAACACCGGUGGCGAAGGCGGCCUUCUGGACGGAUACUGACGCUGAGACGCGAAAGCGUGGGGAGCAAACAGGAUUAGAUACCCUGGUAGUCCACGCCGUAAACGAUGGGCACUAGGUGUUCGGGGUAUUGACCCCCUGAGUGCCGCAGCUAACGCAUUAAGUGCCCCGCCUGGGGACUACGGCCGCAAGGUUAAA